GCAAGUCGAGCGCGCCCUUCGGGGUGAGCGGCGGACGGGUGAGUAACGCGUGGGAACGUACCUUUCUCUACGGAAUAGUCCCGGGAAACUGGGUUUAAUACCGUAUACGCCCUUCGGGGGAAAGAUUUAUCGGAGAGAGAUCGGCCCGCGUUGGAUUAGGUAGUUGGUGGGGUAAUGGCCUACCAAGCCGACGAUCCAUAGCUGGUUUGAGAGGAUGAUC
rnacentral:rRNA from 1 species